rnacentral:lncRNA from 1 species
GAGGAGGUGAACGAGGAGGAGGCCGUGGAGGAGGAGGUGGACGAGGACGAGUAGAAUGAUGGGGAUGAUGAGAAGGAGGAAGAGGAGGAGGAGGGGGAGGGGGAAGAGGGGGAGGGGAAGAGGGGGAGGAGGAGAACAAUGAUGAGGACGAGGUGACACAGCAGGGUGUCAUGGGAACCAAGGAUGAAGAGGAGGAAAAGGAGGAAUGGGAGGGGGAGGAGGAUGAGGAGGAGGAAGAGGGGGAGUAGGACGAGGACAAGGAGGAGAAGGAGGACAAGGAAGAAGAGGAGAAGGACGAUUAGGAGAAGGACAAGGAGGAUGAGGAGGAUGAGGAAGAAGACAAGCAGGAGAAGGAGGAGGAGGACAGGGACGAGGAGGAGGAGGACAAAGAGGAUGAGGUCGAGGAGGAAGAGGACGAGGAUGAAGAGGAUGAGAAGGGGGAGCAGGAGGAGGAGGACGAGGAGGAGGAGGACGAGGAGGAGGAGGACGAGGUGGAUGAAGAGGAGGAGGACGAGGAGGAGGAAGAGGACAAGGACGAGGAGAACAAGGAAGAAGAGGAGGAGGAAGAUAAGGAGGACUCAGAGGAAGAGGAGUAGAAGGAGGAAGAGGAGGACGAGGAGGCAGAAGAUGAGGAGGAGGAGGAUGAGGAAGUGGAGGAGGACAAGGUCGGGGAGGAGGAGGAGGAAGAGGAGGAAGAAGAAGAGGAGGAGGAGGACAAUGAGGGCAAGAAGGAGGAGAAGGAUGAGGAGAAGGAGGAUGAGGACAAGGCCGAUGGAGACGAGGAGGAGGAGGAGGAUGAGGAGGAGGCGAAGAAGGACGAUGAGGGCAAGAAGGAGAAGGAUGACGAGGAGGAGGAGGACGAUGAGGGUGAGGAGGAGGAGGACAAGGACAAGGAUGAGAACGUGGAGGACGUGGAGGAGGCCGUGGAUGAUGAUUAGGACAAGGAUCAGGAAGAGGAGGGAGAGGAGGAGCAGGAGCAGGAGCGGGAGAAUCCCGGCACUCCCAGUGCCUGCACGCUGAGCCUGCAGCACCCCCUGCCCCGGGAGCAUCGCCCCCAGCC